GAGGGUAUAUUGUAGUGCACCAAAAAAAAAAUUUAGUUAUUAAAUUUUUGUGUUUUAUUUUAUUUAAGUGUUAAGUGUGGUGAAUUGUUUUAUUUAAAUGUUGUUUAUUUUAUUUAGUUGUUGUUUGUUGUAUUUAAUUGUUUGUUAUUUUAUUUAAUUGUUAGAAUUGUUUGUAGAAUUUUUGUGAAAUUAUUUGUUAAAUGACCUUUUUUAUUUUAUUUUAAAAAUGUGAUUAUGUAAGAUUUGGUUGAAUGCACUAAGGUGCAUGGUAGAUAGUGGUACAUCCUAGUGAUUUAGUGUGUGUUAGUGCAUGGUAGCAUGGUACACAUGUGUAGAAUUUUCUACACACUUUGAAGUUUCCUUUUAUUGAGUUUAUUAGAACUAAUUUAAAAUAAAUAAAUAAAUGGAAGGGGAAACCAUGGUGGACAUGUGGCUUAGAGUGGGAAAGGAAGAGAUUUAUUUCUAUACAUUUUAUUAUUCAAAUAAAUUAAAAAUACGGUGAUAAUGUUAUUUUGGGAAAGGAAGUGAUCAUCUUUUAUUUUUCCACCUAUUGUGAUAUAAUUAAAUAAAUAUGAAUUAAGACAAAAUAUGGAAGAGAAUAGGAAAGUUAGCUUUUUCUUUUAUUUGAGUCUUUAUGGGAAAAUUAGGAUAAAGAGGGAAUGGGAAAAAUGGAAGAGCAUUAUGCUCUUGGGGCUGCCGAAUUAUAGAGAGAAGAGAGGAGAGAGAGGGCGUGACCUAGAGAGAGAAGGAGAAUAACAAAGAAAGGAAGAAGGAGAAGAAGAAGGGUUCAAGCUAGGGGUUUGAGCAAGGAGGUGCUUCUAGAUUGGAUUCCUGAUUUCUAUCAAGAGAGGUAGCAAAUAGGUUUCUCUAUGGCACGCGGUGAUGUGGGGAGUUCUAUCGUCGUUGUGUGUAUGACGUGGGGGAGUCCUAUGGACGAAAAACGAUCAAUUAAAAACGCCAUUUUUAAUAAUGUUAUGUUUUAAGAGACAUUUUAAACUUAUCAGUGCGACUUGAAUUAUUGGUUGUUUUAGAACUUUGCAUAAAAACUGAUAUUUUCUUUUAAAACUAUUGGGCCCAACUUGCAUGUUUUAAGCAAGACCCCACUGAAACCUUUACAAUAAGUGGCUUUCUUAU